rnacentral:rRNA from 1 species
UACGUAGGGUGCAAGCGUUAAUCGGAAUUACUGGGCGUAAAGCGUGCGCAGGCGGUUUGUUAAGUCUGUUGUGAAAUCCCCGAGCUCAACUUGGGAAUUGCAAUGGAUACUGGCAGGCUGGAGUAUGGUAGAGGAAGGUGGAAUUCCCGGUGUAGCAGUGAAAUGCGUAGUGAUCGGGAGGAACACCAGUGGCGAAGGCGGCCUUCUGGACCAAUACUGACGCUCAUGCACGAAAGCGUGGGGAGCAAACAGG